CCGACCUUAGCUCAGUUGGCAGAGCGCAAGACUGUAAAUCUUGAUGUCGCCUGUUCGAUCCAGGCAGGUCGGA
rnacentral:tRNA from 1 species